GCAGACCCAGUUUUAUUGAUACCUUGAACUUAAAGUGGUUUUAUGCAUAUCAGCCCAGAUUAUGUGUGUAAUUUUAUUGAACAAUUCAACAAUACACGUUCUUAACAGGUUAAAUUUAAUUUAAAAAUUUACAAAUUCAGAUCUACUGGCAUUCAACACCCAAUUACUUACUUGCUGUAUAUUGCUAACUUUGAUUGUAUAUUGUCAAUCCCUCCACAUCGUGAAUACGCCAUGCGAGGUGUUGGAUAAGUUUGAUACAGGGUGGCGGCUUCGAAGCGUAGAAAAAAAUCCAGGUAAACGAAAGUGUAAAAUUUUGUUGUUGAAAAUUUUAAGUACUAAAUUCCUAAAUUUGUACUUAACUCCGUUCUACGGGUAACAUGGUUGUUUGAUAUGAAAAUAGGAUAAAAAGCAUCCGGAAAAAUUAAUUAUCACGUUAUAAGUAUUCGUAAAUGGAUAUGAAAAAACUUAACAAGGAAUAAGUAUUGGUAAACGGACAGAAAGUCGCAGGACAAAGGGCAAGAACAUUAAAGAUAAAGGGAAACUAUAAACAAAAGAAAUUAUCAACAAAAAUAGAUUUACAGACAUCAACAAAGCCUAAAUGGUCAGACAUCUUGGUUUUCAUGAUCAUCAUUCAACAGGUCAAUACUGAACAGCAAACUUAAAGUUGAUAUUUUUCUACAUAGUGUGACUUUUUUAUUAAUUUGAAAUGGAAUGUGUUUUUUUUCCUACAUAAGAAAGAGGAAAUUUCAACAUAAUGACUAUAAACAAAAAGGAGUCAUAUCAUCAUGAUCAUAGAUGCUCAAGAACUUAAUCAUGUAAAUGCAACAACGUAAUUAUCAAUUGAAAGAAGGGAGGAAUGAAAAAAUAUAUUAGUAUUUUGUUGUCCAAAUGAACUUGCUUUGUCCGCUCAUUUAAAUCGCUCCAUCCAAUAAAGAUGUACUGAGGAAGAUUUUUGAAGAACAGAUUGCAAAAAUGUUUUGUCUAAGAAUUGUAGGAAUAUUCUAGCGAAUGAAAUAAUUUAUUUACUUGACUCUUAUAUAGUGGACUGAAUAAUUGUUCAUAGCAAGCUGAAACAAGAAAACUAAAACUUAACAGGAAAAGUGUUUAUUUUAUAAAUAUUCAAAUAUAAAUGUAAUAUUAUGAACACCACAAAGGAAUAAGAUUCAAAUCGUUUGCAUAUUCAUGUAUUGCAAUGGAACUAUAACAAAGAAAACUUUACCUCAUGAAAAGAGUAAACUAUUAACUGUGCUUUGUCAAUUUAUUCAGUCAGAAUAUGAAAUAUUUUUUUCAGUUCUAUUUUUCAUAA